CGUUACGUUGCGUAACGACGUGAAGGACGAGCACUCUAGACGAACUAGCCGUUGACAAACGGAGGAAGGUGGGGAGUGACGUCAAAUCAUCAUGCCCCUUAUGUUCUGGGCUACACACGUGCUACAAUGGCCGGUACAGACGGACGCAAAGCCGCGAGGUGGAGCAAAUCCUAAAAAGCCGGUCUCAGUUCGGAUUGCAGGCUGCAAUUCGCCUGCAUGAAGUCGGAAUCGCUAGUAAUCGCAGGUCAGCAUACUGCGGUGAAUACGUUCCCGGGCCUU
rnacentral:rRNA from 1 species